rnacentral:misc_RNA from 1 species
GUUUUUUUUUUUUUUUUUCACUUUUCUGCAGUUUCAUGACAGGACUAAAAGUGAAUGUUUGGCUUGCAUAAAUAUUUCAAAUGCUAGCAGCUAUUCAUGUUGCUUUAACCUUCUCCUUGUCUUCUGCCAGUCUCCAAGUGCAGCUCUUAAUGGUGAAAUUUUUUGGCAUGCUGCUGUGGUAUUCUUCCCUUUAUAAAUGGAUAUCCCAUAAGAUUUAUAAUUAUUUGAAAUCAAGAAGAGUUUCAGAUUUAAUGUGAAAAGGGGGAGCACAUUCUAAAUACUAGGAAUACCAUGUACAAUUCAG